ACCAUAAACGAUGCCGACUAGGGAUCGGUGAACGUCGAUUGUGACUUCAUCGGCACCUUACGAGAAAUCAAAGUUUUUGGGUUCUGGGGGGAGUAUAGUCGCAAGGCCGAAACUUAAAGGAAUUGACGGAAGGGCACCACCAGGAGUGGAGCCUGCGGCUUAAUUUGACUCAACACGGGAAAACUCACCAGGUCCAGACAUAGUAAGGAUUGACAGAUUGGGAGCUCUUUCAUGAUUCUAUGGGUGGUGGUGCAUGGCCGUUCUUAAUUGGUGGAGUGAUUUGUCUGGUUAAUUCCGAUAACGAACGAGACCUUAACCUGCUAACUAGUUUACUGAACGCGAGUUCUGGCAAACUUCUUAGAGGGACUAUCUGUGACUAACAGAUGGAAGUUUGAGGCAAUAACAGGUCUGUGAUGCCCUUAGAUGUUUUGGGCCGCACGCGCGCUACACUGAUAAAGGCAACGAGUAUUCACCUUAACCGGAAGGUUUGGGUAAUCUUUUGAAACUUUAUCGUGAUGGGGAUAGAGCAUUGCAAUA
rnacentral:rRNA from 1 species